rnacentral:rRNA from 1 species
UACGAAGGGGGCUAGCGUUGCUCGGAAUCACUGGGCGUAAAGGGUGCGUAGGCGGGUUUUUAAGUCCGGGGUGAAAUCCUGGAGCUCAACUCCAGAACUGCCUUUGAUACUGAAGAUCUUGAGUCCGGGAGAGGUGAGUGGAACUGCGAGUGUAGAGGUGAAAUUCGUAGAUAUUCGCAAGAACACCAGUGGCGAAGGCGGCUCACUGGCCCGAUACUGACGCUGAGGUGCGAAAGCGUGGGGAGCGAACAGG